GAUCAUGGCUCAGAUUGAACGCUGGCGGCAGGCUUAACANAUGCAAGUCGAACGGUAACAUAAAGAAGCUUGCUUCUUUGAUGACGAGUGGCGGACGGGUGAGUAAUGCUUGGGAAUCUAGCUUAUGGAGGGGGAUAACUACGGGAAACUGUAGCUAAUACCGCGUAAUAUCGAAAGAUUAAAGUGUGGGACCUUCGGGCCGCAUGCCAUAGGAUGAGCCCAAGUGGGAUUAGGUAGUUGGUG
rnacentral:rRNA from 1 species